rnacentral:rRNA from 1 species
UACGUAGGGGGCAAGCGUUAUCCGGAUUUACUGGGUGUAAAGGGAGCGUAGACGGUGAUGCAAGUCAGAAGUGAAAGCCCGGGGCUCAACUCCGGGACUGCUUUUGAAACUGUGUAACUGGAGUGCAGGAGAGGUAAGCGGAAUUCCUGGUGUAGCGGUGAAAUGCGUAGAUAUCAGGAGGAACACCAGUGGCGAAGGCGGCUUACUGGACUGUAACUGACGUUGAGGCUCGAAAGCGUGGGGAGCAAACAGG